GACGAACGCUGGCGGCGUGCUUAACACAUGCGAGUCGAACGGAAAGGCCCUUCGGGGUACUCGAGUGGCGAACGGGUGAGUAACACGUGGGUGAUCUGCCCUGCACUUUGGGAUAAGCCUGGGAGACUGGGUCUAAUACCGAAUAGGACCACGCGCUUCAUGGUGUGUGGUGGAAAGCUUUUGCGGUGUGGGAUGGGCCCGCGGCCUAUCAGCUUGUUGGUGGGGUAAUGGCCUACCAAGGCGACGACGGGUAGCCGGCCUGAGAGGGUGACCGGCCACACUGGGACUGAGAUACGGCCCAGACUCCUACGGGAGGCAGCAGUGGGGAAUAUUGCACAAUGGGCGCAAGCCUGAUGCAGCGACGCCGCGUGAGGGAUGACGGCCUUCGGGUUGUAAACCUCUUUCAAUAGGGACGAAGCGCAAGUGACGGUACCUAUAGAAGAAGCACCGGCCAACUACG
rnacentral:rRNA from 1 species